rnacentral:rRNA from 1 species
UUAAGCUACUAAGAGCGUAGGGGGAAUGCCUUGGCACCAAGAGCCGAUGAAGGACGUGAUAAGCUGCGAAAAGCUACGGGGAGGAGCACAUAUCCAAAGAGCCGUAGAUAUCCGAAUGAGGGAACUCAAUCUAGGUAAAUGCUAGAUUAUCAUCACAUGAGUAAAGUAGUGUGAUAGAGGGGAACAUGGGGAACUGAAACAUCUUAGUACCCAUAGGAAGAGAAAAUAAAAAUGAUUCCGUAAGUAGUGGCGAGCGAAAGCGGAAAAGCCCAAACCUGAGUGAGCAAUCACUAACAGGGGUUAGGACAUGCAACAAAUUCCAAGAAAGAGUGUAGUAGAAGUGUUUUGGGAAAGCACACCAAAGAGAGUGAAAGUCUCGUAUACGAAACACGAAAGAAGGAAGAGUAUGAUCCAGAGUAAGACAGGACACGAGAAAUCCUGUGUGAAUGAGCGGGGACCAUCCCGUAAGGCUAAAUACUACUUGGUGACCGAUAGUGAAAUAGUACCGUGAGGGAAAGGUGAAAAGAACCCCGGGAGGGGAAUGAAAUAGAAUCUGAAACCCUAUGCUUACAAGCAGAUAGAGCACGUUAAAGUGUGAUAUCGUACUUUUUGCAGAACGGUCCGGCGAGUUACUGUAUAUGGCAAGGAGAAGAGUUUAAGACUAAUAUCCGAAGCGAAAGCGAGUCUGAAUAGGGCGAAGUUAAGUCAUAUGUAGUAGACCCGAAACCGAGUGACCUAUCCAUGUCCAGGAUGAAGCUAGAGUGAAAUCUAGUGGAGGUCCGCACCAGUAGACGUUGAAAAGUCUUUGGAUGAGGUGUGGAUAGCGGAGAAAUUCUAAUCGAACUCGGAUAUAGCUGGUUCUCCUCGAAAUAGCUUUAGGGCUAGCCUUGAACAAAAACCGUAUGGGGGUAGAGCACUGAAUGAGCUAGGGGCCAAACAAAGGUUACCAAACUUUAUCAAACUGCGAAUACCAUAAGGGAAGUUCAGGAGUCAGACUACGGGAGCUAAGUUCCGUGGUCAAAAGGGAAAGAGCCCAGACCGUCAAUUAAGGUCCCUAAGAUAUAACUAAGUGGAAAACGAUGUGAUUUUGCGCAGACAACCAGGAUGUUGGCUUAGAAGCAGCCAUUCAUUUAAAGAGUGCGUAAUAGCUCACUGGUCGAGUGAAGUUGCGCGGAAAAUUACCGGGGCUAAGUUAUACACCGAAAUUGCGGAUUCAUUAAGAAAUUAAUGAGUGGUAGAGGAGCGUUCUAUACAGGAUGAAGUAUGAUCGAGAGGACAUAUGGACAGUAUAGAAGAGAGAAUGCCGGAAUGAGUAGCGAGAGCAAAGUGAGAAUCUUUGCCGUCGAAAAUCUAAGGUUUCCUGGGGAAGGUUCGUCCGCCCAGGGUAAGUCGGGACCUAAGGUGAGGCCGAAGGGCGUAGCCGAUGGACAGCAGGUUAAGAUUCCUGCACCAGUAUACAUGUAUAAUGCAUAAGAGGACACAUUUGAAGAAGAUGAGCGAGGAAGAGGAAAAACUCGUAUGGCAACAUAUAGUGAAAUUAAGUAACGAAUCAUCAAGAGGCAAGUGGCGAGAAAAGUCUUAUGUAGUUGUGUAGACUGCCCGUACCGCAAACCGACACAGGUAGAUGAGGAGAGGAUCCUAAGACGAGCGGGAGAAGCAUUGUUAAGGAACUCGGCAAAUUGACCCCGUAACUUAGGGAUAAGGGGUGCUGGUGUAAAAACCAGUCGCAGUAAAUAGGCCCAAGCAACUGUUUAACAAAAACACAGGUUUCUGCUAAAUCGCAAGAUGAAGUAUAGGAGCUGACUCCUGCCCAGUGCUGGAAGGUUAAGGGGAAAGGUUAGGAAUAAUUCAUUAUAUCCGAAGCUUUGAACUCAAGCCCCAGUGAACGGCGGCCGUAACUAUAACGGUCCUAAGGUAGCGAAAUUCCUUGUCAGGUAAGUUCUGACCCGCACGAAAGGAGUAAUGAUUUGGGCACUGUCUCAACAAUGUACCCGGCGAAAUUGUAGUACUAGUGAAGAUGCUAGUUACCUGCGACAAGACGGAAAGACCCCAUGGAGCUUUACUAUAGCCUGAUAUUGGGCUUUGGUAUCUUAUGUACAGGAUAGGUGGGAGACUAUGAGAUUAAGACGCAAGUCUUAAAGGAGUCAACCUUGGAAUACCACCCUUAAGAUAUUAGAGUUCUAACUUGUGAUCAUAAACUGGUCAGAGGACAUUGUCAGGUGGGUAGUUUGACUGGGGCGGUCACCUCCUAAAGAGUAACGGAGGUGCGCAAAGGUUUCCUCGGCACGGUCAGAAAUCGUGCUAAUGAGUGUAAAGGCAUAAGGAAGCUUAACUGAGAGAGAGACAUCUCGAGCAGAUACGAAAGUAGGUCUUAGUGAUCCGGUGGUAGAAAAUGGAAUUGCCAUCGCUCAACGGAUAAAAGUUACCCUGGGGAUAACAGGCUUAUCUCCCCCAAGAGUUCACAUCGACGGGGAGGUUUGGCACCUCGAUGUCGGCUCAUCGCAUCCUGGGGCUGAAGUCGGUCCCAAGGGUUGGGCUGUUCGCCCAUUAAAGCGGUACGCGAGCUGGGUUCAGAACGUCGUGAGACAGUUCGGUCCCUAUCUGUCGCAGGCGCAGGAUAUUUGAAAGGAGCUGUCCUUAGUACGAGAGGACCAGGAUGGACAUACCAAUGGUGCAACAGUUGUCACACCAGUGGCACAGCUGUGUAGCUAAGUAUGGAAGGGAUAAACGCUGAAAGCAUCUAAGCGUGAAGCCCCCCUUAAGAUAAGAUAUCCCACAACGUCAAGUUGGUAAGAUUCCAGUAAGACUAACUGGUUGAUAGGUUAGAGGUGUAAAUGUGGUGACACAUUUAGCUGACUAAUACUAAUAAUCGAGGGCUUAACCAA